AGAAUCAACGCUGGCGGCGUGCCUAACACAUGCAAGUCGAACGAGAAAGUGGAGCAAUCCAUGAGUACAGUGGCGUACGGGUGAGUAACACGUGACUACCUACCCUCGAGUGGGGAAUAACCUCGGGAAACCGGGCUAAUACCGCAUAACAUCUACGGAUCAAAUGCGAAAGCAGCUUGAGGAGGGGUCGCGGCCGAUUAGCUAGUUGGUGAGGUAAUGGCUCACCAAGGCAAUGAUCGGUA
rnacentral:rRNA from 1 species